rfam:Corchorus capsularis cultivar CVL-1 contig13286, whole genome shotgun sequence.
AUACCUUUCUCGGCCUUUUGGCUAAGAUCAAGUGUAGUAUCUGUUCUUAUCAGUUUAAUAUCUGAUACGUGGGCCAUCGGCCCACAUGAUAUUAAAUUUAUUUUUUUAGGGGGAGAGCCCAUCACAGUAGCUUGCUACUGGGGCUCUCGCGCGUCGCCCAAACGUUGCACUACUGCUCGGGCCUGGCGCACCCCAC